rnacentral:rRNA from 1 species
AUUGAACGCUGGCGGCAGGCCUAACACAUGCAAGUCGAACGAGUGGCGGACGGGUGAGUAAUGUCUGGGAAACUGCCCGAUGGAGGGGGAUAACUACUGGAAACGGUAGCUAAUACCGCAUACCAUCGGAUGUGCCCAGAUGGGAUUAGCUUGUAGGUGAGGUAACGGCUCACCUAGGCGACGAUCCCUAGCUGGUCUGAGAGGAUGACCAGCGACACUGGAACUGUGAAACGGGCCAAACAACACUGGGAGGCAGCAGUGGGGAUGAGUGCACAAUGGGCGAAAGCCUGAUGCAGACAUGCCGCGAGUAGGAAGAAGGCCUUCGGGUUGGAAAGUAAUUUCAGCGGGGAGGCGGUACCCGAAGAAGAAGCACCGGCUAACUCCGUGCCAGCAGCCGCGGUAAUUC